GUGGGGAAUAUUGGGCAAUGGGGGAAACCCUGACCCAGCAACGCCGCGUGAAGGAAGAAGGCUUUCGGGUUGUAAACUUCUUUUUUAGGGGACGAAGGAUGUGACUGUACCCUAAGAAUAAGCUCCGGCUAACUACGUGCCAGCAGCCGCGGUAAUACGUAGGGAGCGAGCGUUGUCCGGAUUUACUGGGUGUAAAGGGCGCGUAGGCGGGGACGCAAGUCAGAUGUGAAAUGCCGGGGCUUAACUCCGGAGCUGCAUUUGAAACUGUGUCUCUUGAGUAUCGGAGAGGCAGGCGGAAUUCCUAGUGUAGCGGUGAAAUGCGUAGAUAUUAGGAGGAACACCAGUGGCGAAGGCGGCCUGCUGGACGACAACUGACGCUGAGGCGCGAAAGCGUGGGGAGCAAACAGGAUUAGAUACCCGUGUAGUCC
rnacentral:rRNA from 1 species